rnacentral:rRNA from 2 species
CUCAUUAAAUCAGUUAUCGUUUAUUUGAUAGUACCUUACUACUUGGAUAACCGUGGUAAUUCUAGAGCUAAUACAUGCUAAAAACCCCGACUUCGGGAGGGGUGUAUUUAUUAGACAAAAAACCAAUGCCCUUCGGGGCUCCUUGGUGAAUCAUGAUAACUUAACGAAUCGCAUGGCCUUGCGCCGGCGAUGGUUCAUUCAAAUUUCUGCCCUAUCAACUUUCGAUGGUAGGAUAGUGGCCUACCAUGGUAUCAACGGGUAACGGGGAAUUAGGGUUCUAUUCCGGAGAGGGAGCCUGAGAAACGGCUACCACAUCCAAGGAAGGCAGCAGGCGCGCAAAUUACCCAAUCCCGACACGGGGAGGUAGUGACAAUAAAUACUGAUACAGGGCUCUUUUGGGUCUUGUAAUUGGAAUGAGUACAAUUUAAAUACCUUAACGAGGAACAAUUGGAGGGCAAGUCUGGUGCCAGCAGCCGCGGUAAUUCCAGCUCCAAUAGCGUAUAUUAAAGUUGUUGCAGUUAAAAAGCUCGUAGUUGAACCUUGGGCCUGGCUGGCCGGUCCGCCUCACCGCGUGCACUGGUCCGGCCGGGCCUUUCCUUCUGGGGAUCCCCAUGCCCUUCACUGGGUGUGGCGGGGAACCAGGACUUUUACUUUGAAAAAAUUAGAGUGUUCAAAGCAGGCCUUUGCUCGAAUACAUUAGCAUGGAAUAAUAGAAUAGGACGUGCGGUCCUAUUUUGUUGGUUUCUAGGACCGCCGUAAUGAUUAAUAGGGAUAGUCGGGGGCAUCAGUAUUCAAUUGUCAGAGGUGAAAUUCUUGGAUUUAUUGAAGACUAACUACUGCGAAAGCAUUUGCCAAGGAUGUUUUCAUUAAUCAGUGAACGAAAGUUAGGGGAUCGAAGACGAUCAGAUACCGUCGUAGUCUUAACCGUAAACUAUGCCGACUAGGGAUCGGGCGAUGUUAUUAUUUUGACUCGCUCGGCACCUUACGAGAAAUCAAAGUCU